AGUGAACGCUGGCGGUAGGCCUAACACAUGCAAGUCGAACGGCAGCACAGUAAGAGCUUGCUCUUACGGGUGGCGAGUGGCGGACGGGUGAGGAAUACAUCGGAAUCUACUUUUUCGUGGGGGAUAACGUAGGGAAACUUACGCUAAUACCGCAUACGACCUACGGGUGAAAGCAGGGGAUCUUCGGACCUUGCGCGAUUGAAUGAGCCGAUGUCGGAUUAGCUAGUUGGCGGGGUAAAGGCCCACCAAGGCGACGAUCCGUAGCUGGUCUGAGAGGAUGAUCAGCCACCCUGGAACUGAGACACGGUCCAGACUCCUACGGGAGGCAGCAGUGGGGAAUAUUAGACAAUGGGCGAAAGCCUGAUCCAGCAAUACCGCGUGGGUGAAGAAGGACUUCGGGUUGUAAAGCCCUUUUGUUGGGAAAGAAAAGCAGCAGGUUAAUACCCCGAUGUUCUGACGGUACCCAAAGAAUAAGCACCGGCUAACUUCGUG
rnacentral:rRNA from 1 species